AAUACAAAUUGUAUUCAUUGUAUCAAGACAAUACGCAACAUAACCAACACACCAUAGUUACAAUCUGUCAAUCUGACUAAUCAAGUUCCAACGUCGGCAGCUGCAAACUGCACAAUAUAAAUUAUCAAAUGCGAACAACGGCAACGGUAUGUCAACUGCAUGAAUGAACGGACCAACUGCAGAGUUUAUAGAUCCAGCUUAAAAAUAAGCUUGAAUUUGAGGUGAAUAGAAAAGUGAAGUCAAAAAUUUGAAAUUUGAAUCAGCAAAAGAAAUGCAGACAAAGGUACAGCGCCGGGACACCGGUACAAUCUAUAGUCCUGUGUGGAAAGUCCAGGUGUCCUGUUAAAGUCUAAAGUUAAGUCUAAAGUCCAGGUGUCCUGUUAAAAUAAGACGUAGUAUCGUUUCUAUGAUCAGCAUGAUUUAACUAUAAAAGAAGCCACAGCAGAAAUGAUAA